rnacentral:lncRNA from 1 species
AUUCAUUUUUGUAGCUUGCGCUCUGUCUCCCUGAAGUCUUUCGCUGCCUGUUGUGCCGCCUUCAGCCGCUUCCUUCUAGCUGGGCAGCGUCCAUAUGGACUAGUGC